GCCUCUACCAUGAGUUGCCAUCGAAAACUUGUAUUCGUAUACUACAGUCGAUAGAGUUUAAACGUGGAUCGAUGAAGUUUGCAUUAAAAUCAUACCAUGAGUUCAAUUACCGUAUACUUUACUCGCCAGCGAUAAUUCGAUGGUUUUGUGAUGUUAUGUUGGUGAACAUGUUAACGUAUCCAACUUCACACUCUAUGAAUGGAUGAAUGAAAGAACGAAUGCCGCUCCUUUCUAACUAUAUAGAAAAGAUAGAGUAGGAAAUAACAAAAAUGUCAAAAAUAACACUGCAAAAUUUAAGUGUCCUAGAACAGUGCUUAAAGCUGAAUUAACAUGAUGAUUUUAAAUUUGUAUUGUUUAUUUCUUGUCAUUGCGACUUUGACGCAGCUGUUGUCAUGACAACAGAUAACAAAACAUGUUUUGUUGAAGGAUUAUUGAUGAAUAAUUUUCCACAAAAAAUUGGAUUUUAACCACGAUAGGAAAAUGAGAACCUGCGCCUAUCCGUUUAAACCGAUUGUAGAAUUUAUGGAAAGAUAUGGCGAUCUGAGUAUGCCCACUGAAGGGCCCCAAGAAAGAGCCAACAAUAGUCAACGGUGGGUGGAACUAACGGACACGCGAACGUGAAAUGCUGAUGCCACCGGCGACACGAAAACUACUGAGAAAUUGAGAAAAGUGUGGAGUGACUUUAAACAGCAAGAAGGCAACUCGCAUACACAGAGCUGCCAAGGGAACACUGGACUGGUGGCGGUCCAGGUUCUUCCCU